GAAACCGUGCGCCGGCCGGCGGCGCCCAGGGCUGCCCUGCAGAGCCUUCCCGCGGGGGCGUGGGCUCAGCCCGGCGCUGGGGGCUGCUACGGUGGUUCGGGUCGGAGACCCCUGAGAUCUUAAAGAUUUGUCCUGUGGGGAUUAGGUAGACUGUUCCAGAGACAAGGAAACAGUCACUGGGGAGAGAGAAAGUGGAUUGUCAGGUUCAGGGACCUGCAGAACGGCCCGUGUGACUAGAGAGUGAGUGGUAGGAGAAAAGACUUUGUGUGCAGCAGAGGUAUCUCAUCACUCACCUGAGUAAACAGCUGGGAUCUUUCUAUUCGGAGAUGAGCCACCAUGCUCCUUACGGUGGAGAGUCCUUGGAGACCCGGAAGAUCAUAGAUGGCCCCCAGGAGGGCUCUGUGCUGGCAGUCUAAAGACAGAAAUAGCCAUACGGUGGCUGUUAAAGGGAUGAGACUGUGGCGUGCUUUCUUGUGAUAGAUGGUAGGACUCAGCUCGGAAGAGGCUGACUCCAGAUGGGACUUCAGGGAAAACGGGCAGAAACCGUGCCAUUACUCUGCACUUGAAGGAGCAUCUUUGCCCUGACAGGAUAAUGAACAUACUUCCUCUCUCCGUCAGGUUUACUGCGUGGGCCGAGAGAGCGGUAGUAGCUAUGUUGCAUAUUUGUGCCUGGGAUUCUUAGGGUGGGAGAAGACAAAAGUCAAAUCCAGAGGUAAGCUUACACCCAGGGAUCAAAUGGCAAUUUGUCUGGUAGGUUGGUUCUCUCGGAACUGUCUCCAAGAUGAAAAGUUAUUGAUCGGUGGUGUGUAGGACAUUUAUUAGGGAGCUCUUUUAGGACCAAUUCCUGUGGGGAAAAGGAAGGAAGUGGAAUUAAUCCGAAGUCAGCUGCAGACCCAGGAGGUUUUGACAGACUGAUAGAGAGCUCUCAAGCUAGGGUGGGUGUUUUGAGUUCUGUCAGGACAAAGGGACUAAGUCUUCUAGUACUGACUAGGUAUUAGGUGCUAGCUACCCCAGGAAGUGGGCAUUGUCUUGGGGGAAAGCAGCGUAUUCAGCCAAGGCUGGUUCAUCAAGAAGACGACAGCAGAGGGCUGGGAGAUGGCUGGGAGAUGGCUCGGUCAGUAAGGUGCUUGCUGUACAAGCAGGAGGUCUUGCUUGGAACCCACAUGAGCCCAGACACAGUGCCUAUGACCCCCCCUGCUGGGGAAAUAGAGACAGGAGGAUCCCUGUAGCCUGCUGACCAGAUAGAUAGUCUACACAAGUAAGGAAAUGUGUGCCUACACACAAAUGCCCUUAAAAGACUUCUAUCAGAUCAUUCAACCUAUACCCCUCCCCAUAGCUGGGGACCAGUCCCUCUGCCCUGAGGGAGCACCUGUAUUACAAAGUGCAUCUUGUAGUUUAUUCUGUAACUUGGUUGUCAAGAAGUGUGUAACCUGGUCAUCAUAAAGUGUUUUGGGUUUUGGGUAUGAGGUUUCCUCAGUGUAGCAUUGACUGUCAUGAAACUUGCUCUGUAGACCAGGCUGGGCUUGAGCUCAGAGACCCACCUGCCUCUGCCUCUUGAGUGUUGGGGUCAUUUAAAGGCGAGUGCCACCACCCUGGCCUUUUGACAGGAUCUUAGGUAGACCAGGCUGGUAUGCAAUUUAUACCCUGCCUCUGUCUUCCAAGAGCUGGGAUGGCAGGUAUGUGGUACCAUGUCUGCCUAGUAAAUUUUCAAUUCCUCGACAUCUUCUAAUAAAGUUGACUACAGG
ensembl:lincRNA 9030407P20Rik RIKEN cDNA 9030407P20 gene